AUUGAACGCUGGCGGCAGGCCUAACACAUGCAAGUCGAACGGUAACAGGAAACAGCUUGCUGUUUCGCUGACGAGUGGCGGACGGGUGAGUAAUGUCUGGGAAACUGCCUGAUGGAGGGGGAUAACUACUGGAAACGGUAGCUAAUACCGCAUAACGUCGCAAGACCAAAGAGGGGGACCUUCGGGCCUCUUGCCAUCGGAUGUGCCCAGAUGGGAUUAGCUAGUAGGUGGGGUAACGGCUCACCUAGGCGACGAUCCCUAGCUGGUCUAAGAGGAUGACCAGCCACACUGGAACUGAGACACGGUCCAGACUCCUACGGGAGGCAGCAGUGGGGAAUAUUGCACAAUGGGCGCAAGCCUGAUGCAGCCAUGCCGCGUGUAUGAAGAAGGCCUUCGGGUUGUAAAGUACUUUCAGCGGGGAGGAAGGGAGUAAAGUUAAUACCUUUGCUCAUUGACGUUACCCGCAGAAGAAGCACCGGCUAACUCCGUG
rnacentral:rRNA from 1 species